rnacentral:rRNA from 2 species
ACAUUAUGACUCUCGGCAACGGAUAUCUCGGCUCUCGCAUCGAUGAAGAACGUAGCGAAAUGCGAUACGUGGUGUGAAUUGCAGAAUCCCGUGAACCAUCGAGUCUUUGAACGCAAGUUGCGCCCGAGGGAUCCGCCCGAGGGCACGCCUGCCUCAUGGGCGUUAGAA